rnacentral:rRNA from 1 species
UACGGAGGGUGCAAGCGUUAUCCGGAUUCACUGGGUUUAAAGGGUGCGUAGGUGGGUUGGUAAGUCAGUGGUGAAAUCUCCAGGCUUAACUUGGAAACUGCCAUUGAUACUAUCAAUCUUGAAUACCGUGGAGGUCAGCGGAAUAUGUCAUGUAGCGGUGAAAUGCUUAGAUAUGACAUAGAACACCAAUUGCGAAGGCAGCUGGCUACACGAAUAUUGACACUGAUGCACGAAAGCGUGGGGAGCAAACAGG